rnacentral:ncRNA from 1 species
GAAGUAUUUAGGUAUCCGGUUCGCUGUGGAUGGGCGGGCUCGGUAUAGUCCAGCAGACGACCUCGGUCCGAAGCUGUUAAGAUUAAUAAGAGCCCCUCUGAAACCACAACAGAAGUUAUUUGCACUUAGGACUGUCCUUAUCCCACAACUCUAUCACCAACUAACACUUGGGAAUUUGAUGAUAGGCGUCCUAAGAAAAUGUGACAGAUUGGUACGGCAAUUCGUAAGGAGAUGGUUAGAUCUCCCACUGGAUGUACCAGUUGCGUACUUUCACGCCUUCCACACUUGUGGGGGUCUCGGGAUUCCGUCAAUUAGAUGGAUGGCACCGAUGCUGCGUCUGACGCGAUUGAGCAUGAUUAAAUGGCCCCACCUCGAACAACCCGAGGUAGCUAGCUCUUACAUUGACGACGAAUUGCAAAGGGCUUGAGAUAGAUUAAAGGCGGAAAAUGUGCAGUUGUGUUCGCGUCCAGGCAAACAUUGCCAGGUAGGGAUCGGCCUAUCGAUCCUUUUGGUUUAAAGAGUUUUUAACAAGAGGUGUCAGAAAAGUUACCAUAGGGAUAACUGGCUUGUGGCGGCCAAGCGUUCAUAGCGACGUCGCUUUUUGAUCCUUCGAUGUCGGCUCUUCCUAUCAUUGUGAAGCAAAAUUCACCAAGCGUUGGAUUCUUCACCCAUGCAAGGGAACGUAAGCUGGGUUUAGACCGUCGUGAGACAGGUUAGUUUUACCCUACUAAUGACAAAACGUUGUUGCGACAGCAUUCCUGCGUAGUACGAUAGGAACCGCAGGUACGGACCAAUGGCACAAUACUUGUUCGAGCGAACAGUGGUAUGACGCUACGUCCGUUGGAUUAUGCCUGAACGCCUCUAAGGUCGUAUCCGUGCUGGACUGCAAUGAUAAAUAAGGGGCAAUUUGCAUUGUAUGGCUUCUAAACCAUUAAAAGUUUAUUUUAUAAACGACAAUGGAUGUGAUGCCAAUGUUAUUUGUAACAUAGUAAAUUGGGAGGAUCUUCGAUCACCUGAUGCCGCGCUAGUUACUUAUUAAGACAUUAUUUAAUACAAUGACAAAGCCUAGAAUCAAUUGUAAACGACUUUUGUAACAGGCAAGUGUUGUAAGUGGUUGAGUAGCUGCCAUACUGCGAUCCACUGAAGCUUAUCUU